GACGAACGCUGGCGGCGUGCCUAAUACAUGCAAGUCGAACGGUCUUUUCUAUGGAAGCUUGCUUCCACUGGGAAGAUAGUGGCGAACGGGUGAGUAACACGUGGGUAACCUGCCCAUAAGAGGGGGAUAACAUCCGGAAACGGGUGCUAAUACCGCAUAGGUUUCUUGGUCGCAUGAUCGAGAAAGGAAAGACGGCCUUUGUGCUGUCGCUUAUGGAUGGACCCGCGGCGUAUUAGUUAGUUGGUGAGGUAACGGCUCACCAAGACGAUGAUACGUAGCGGACCUGAGAGGGGGAUCGGCCACAUUGGGACUGAGACACGGCCCAAACUCCUACGGGAGGAAGCAGUAGGGAAUCUUCCGCAAUGGACGAAAGUCUGACGGAGCAACGCCGCGUGAGUGAAGAAGGUUUUCGGAUCGUAAAACUCUGUUGUCAGAGAAGAACAAGUCGGAGAGUAACUGCUCCGGCCUUGACGGUAUCUGACCAGAAAGCCACGGCUAACUACGUGCCAGCAGCCGCCGCGGUAA
rnacentral:rRNA from 1 species